GCAAUCGUCGCUUAGCCUGGUAGAGCGCCGGUCUGCUAAACCGGUGUCCAAAGGAUUCGUGGGUUCAAAUCCCACCGAUUGCG
rnacentral:tRNA from 1 species